AAACUUCAAAUAAUCAUGUACAGUAUAUGCACUCAAUACUUGGUCAGGGCUCCUUUUGAAUGAACUACUGCAUCAAUGCGGUGUGGCAUGGAGACGAUCAGCCUGUGGCACUGCUGAGGUGUUAUGGAAACCCAGGUUGCUUUGAUAGCAGCCUUCAGCACGUCUGCAUUGUUGGGUCUA